rnacentral:rRNA from 1 species
AUACGGAGGGGGCUAGCGUUGUUCGGAAUUACUGGGCGUAAAGCGCGCGUAGGCGGACCUGUAAGUCGGGGGUGAAAGCCCGAGGCUCAACCUCGGAACUGCCUUCGAUACUACAGGUCUUGAGUCCGGGAGAGGUGAGUGGAAUUCCUAGUGUAGAGGUGAAAUUCGUAGAUAUUAGGAAGAACACCAGUGGCGAAGGCGGCCAGCUGGACCAGUUCUGACGCUGAGGCGCGACAGCGUGGGGAGCAAACAGAAUUAGAUACCCCAGUAGUCC